UGGCCUCCGCCCCAGUCCCGGGGCGCCCCAGUCCCCACCUGUAGGAGAGCGGGUGGCCUGGUCCGGAGUAGAGGGUGGUGGGAGGUGGGCCCUGGCCGGAGACCCUGGUGAAAGCCUAGCUUCCCCCAUCCGUCCCUGCCCCGUGUUCAUCCCUAGUGGGAUUUUUUAUUUCGUCAGUUAACAGGUAGGUAUCAACCCACUGCGCAUCGGGCAUGUUCGAGGCACUGGGAACCCAGCAGAGAACAAAACAGAAGUGGACCCACUGGCGCUUAAUGAAUGCGGUGGCCAGGAGGAAGCCUCUAACUCACCCCUCAGCUCCUGGAAGUCUCAGGAAUCUCUCAGGAGGAACUGAGGCUGCAAGAAACAGAGAAGAAAUGUGGACCCGGGUUUGAGUUCCCAUUCACCUGGCUGUUCGUUCUUGCCAGGGGUCUGUCGGAUGGGAAGGAAAGCUUGAGGACACAGCGGCAGGUGUACAGGAGACUCACCGACGUGCUCGUUGGAACAGCAAGAAGCCAGAGACUGGGGAAGCAAGAGGAAGGUCCAUCGGUGGAAGAAGGGAAGGCGGUCUACACACCCAGCAUAGAAUAUUAUUAAUGACUAAAGAGAAUAAAAUGUUGCAUAUGGAUGUGAAUGACCUUCGACAUGGUAUUAAGUGGAAGACAAGCAAGGCACAGGAGGGACGAGGUCUGCUCACAUUUGCUCAGCCCUGCUCACCACAGCCCUGGAAGGAUGCACAAGGAAGGAACUGCUGAUCGCUUCUGGGGAGCCAGCCCUGGAGGAGAAGGGUGGGAGGCACGCUCAUCUUUGAAUACGCUUGGAAUGCUGAACCAUUCCUAGGAUGCAUAUCUAAACAUCUCUGUGGAGCAUGAAAACACCUUAACAACGAACGCCCUUACACGUGGAUUUGCUUACAGGCCAGUGAUGUCCUCACAGCCAUGAAGACUAUAUACGUUUAGAUGGGAGUGCUACUGGAGCCUUCCUACGGAAACAAAGACCCAAAGGAACCUGAAUGAAGACUCGGAAACCUGAGUGUGUAUAUGCUGGGUUUGGUGAAGAGUGGGCAUCAUGUAAACAUGUGAAUAAAAGAUAUAUAUAUAUAUAUGAAAAAAGAUGGAAAGGAUGUUGAAGAAUAUGCUACCCCAAAAUACGCCAUUUUGGCAUACUGAUUAUUUUGAAGUGAAAUUAUUUUAAAAACAGCCAGUGCAAGGACAGUCUGACCCUCCUUUGCACUUUGGACGAAUGAAGCACGGACCAGGAGGGUGGAAGGCAUCUUUAUCACUAGAGACAGGGAAACUAGGGCUGAGAAAACUACUAGUAUAUAAACCAGUGAUGGCGAACCUGUGACACGCGUGUCAGAGGUGACACGCGAACUCAUUUUUUUGGUUGAUUUUUCUUUGUUA